CCUACGGGAGGCAGCAGUAGGGAAUUUUCGUCAAUGGGCGCAAGCCUGAACGAGCAAUGCCGCGUGAACGAGGACGGUCUUCGGAUCGUAAAGUUCUGUUGAAGGGGAAAAAGAGCGGAGAGAGGAAAUUGUCUCCGAUUGAUAUUACCCUUCGAGGAAGUCACGGCUAACUACGUGCCAGCAGCCGCGGUAAUACGUAGGUGGCGAGGGUUAUCCGGAAUGAUUGGGCGUAAAGGGUGCGUAGGCGGCCUGCUAAUUCUGGAGUGAAAGGUACCGGCUCAACCGGUACAGGCUCUGGAAACUGGCGGGAUAGAGAGCAGGAGAGGGAGGUGGAACUCCAGGUGUAGCGGUAAAAUGCGUAGAUAUAUGGAAGAACACCAGUGGCGAAGGCGGCCGCCUGGACUGUUACUGACGCUGAGGCACGAAAGCGUGGGGAGCAAAUAGGAUUAGAUACCCCUGUAGUC
rnacentral:rRNA from 1 species